rnacentral:rRNA from 1 species
AAUGAACGCUGGCGGCAGGCCUAACACAUGCAAGUCGAACGGAUCCUUCGGGAUUAGUGGCGGACGGGUGAGUAACGCGUGGGAACAUACCCAAGGUACGGAAUAGCCUCGGGAAACUGGGAGUAAUACCGUAUGUGCUCGAAAGAGGAAAGAUUUAUCGCCUUUGGAUUGGCCCGCGUUGGAUUAGGUAGUUGGUGGGGUAAUGGCCUACCAAGCCGACGAUCCAUAGCUGGUUUGAGAGGAUGAUCAGCCACACUGGGACUGAGACACGGCCCAGACUCCUACGGGAGGCAGCAGUGGGGAAUCUAUGACAAUGGGGGAAACCCUGAUCUAGCCAUGCCGCGUGAUCGAUGAAGGCCUUAGGGUUGUAAAGAUCUUUCAGGUGGGAAGAUAAUGACUGUACCACCAGAAGAAGCCCCGGCUAACUCCGUGCCAGCCGCCGCGGUAA